rnacentral:rRNA from 1 species
AUGAGCGGGGCAAUAAUGACGCAUGGGGAAUCGAGGUCGGGGGAUCCGAACCCUCGUGGUUUAAAUACCAUAGGGAUGGGAUGGGAGGAAGCGUCUUCCCCUCCCUGUUCUUCCCCACGGCCGCCGGCGCCCAGAGCUUCGACCUAUCCAGGAGUCAUCCUCAGAACCCGCCACCUGUUCGACGAAAUGCACAAGAAGGCUGUUGACACAGGCAUGGAUCCUUUCCGCGUCCUCUCCGACGAUGUGCUCGAGCACAUCCUUUCCCUUCUGUCGGGGGAUGAAGCCUACAGACUUGCGUGCUCGGUACCCAGUGGCGUGACAUCUGGAGGCGUAAAACCAGCUUGUGCUUCAUCUUUGAGAACUGGUCAAGUUUUAGUCGCGAGCGUUUCAAUAAAUUGGUGA